rnacentral:hammerhead_ribozyme from 1 species
AUCCAGCUGACGAGUCCCAAAUAGGAUGAAACGUCCGUUUUGGAU